rnacentral:piRNA from 1 species
GCACUCUGAAGCAUCAUAUUCUGGUAUUGC